rnacentral:tRNA from 1 species
GGCCCCGUAGCUCAGUUGGUUAGAGCGCCGCCCUGUCACGGCGGAGGUCACCGGUUCAAGUCGGGCCGGGGUCGCCA